CGAACGCUGGCGGCGUGCUUAACACAUGCAAGUCGAACGCGAAAGGGACUUCGGUCCUGAGUAAAGUGGCGCACGGGUGAGUAACGCGUAGAUAACCUGUCUUCAUGUCUGGAAUAAUACGCCGAAAGGGGUACUAAUACCGGAUAUUCUUGCUUUUCAUAAGUUAUGCAAGCAAAGGUGGCCUCUGCAUAUGCUACUGCAUGAAGAGGGGUCUGCGUACCAUUAGCUAGUAGGUGGGGUAAUGGCCUACCUAGGCGACGAUGGUUAGCGGGUCUGAGAGGAUGAUCCGCCACACUGGCACUGGAACACGGGCCAGACUCCUACGGGAGGCAGCAGUGAGGAAUAUUGCGCAAUGGGGGAAACCCUGACGCGGCGACGCCGCGUGAAGUGAGGAAGGCCUUCGGGUCGUAAAGCUCUGUCAAGAGGAAAGAAGUGUACAAUGGCUAAUACCUGUUGUAUUUGACGGUACCUCUAAAGGAAGCACCGGCUAACUCCGUGCCAGCCGCUGC
rnacentral:rRNA from 1 species